rnacentral:misc_RNA from 1 species
AUUGCCCUGCCUGGGCUCAUAGGGAAGGAGGAUGUGAAGGAGCUUGUGAAGGCAGAGGAAGAUUAUUGAAUAAUAAAAUACAGUUUUGAAAAAAAUGGAUGAAGAACCUGAAAGAACUAAGCGAUGGGAAGGAGGCUAUGAAAGAACAUGGGAGAUUCUUAAAGAAGAUGAAUCUGGAUCACUUAAAGCUACAAUAGAAGACAUUCUAUUCAAGGCAAAGAGAAAAAGAGUAUUUGAGCACCAUGGACAAGUUCGACUUGGAAUGAUGCGCCACCUUUAUGUGGUAGUAGAUGGAUCAAGAACAAUGGAAGACCAAGAUUUAAAGCCUAAUAGACUGACGUGUACUUUAAAGUUGUUGGAAU